AUUGAACGCUGGCGGCAUGCUUUACACAUGCAAGUCGAACGGUAACAGGCCUUCGGGUGCUGACGAGUGGCGAACGGGUGCGUAAUGCAUCGGAACGUACCCAGAGGUGGGGGAUAACGCAGCGAAAGCUGUGCUAAUACCGCAUGUGAUCUGAGGAUGAAAGCGGGGGACCGAGCAGCAAUGUUUGGCCUCGCGCCUUUGGAGCGGCCGAUGUCGGAUUAGCUAGUUGGUGGGGUAAAGGCCUACCAAGGCGACGAUCCGUAGCUGGUCUGAGAGGACGACCAGCCACACUGGGACUGAGACACGGCCCCGACCCCUACGGGAGGCAGCAGUUGGGAAUUUUUGACAAUGGGCGCAAGCCUGAUCCAGCAAUGCCGCGUGCGGGAAGAAGGCCUUCGGGUUGUAAACCGCUUUUGGCAGGAACGAAACGGUGUCCGCUAAUACCGGGCGCUAAUGACGGUACCUGCAGAAUAAGCACCGGCUAACUACGUG
rnacentral:rRNA from 1 species